GAUGAAGAACGUAGCGAAAUGCGAUAAGUAAUGUGAAUUGCAGAAUUCAGUGAAUCAUCGAAUCUUUGAACGCACAUUGCGCCCCUUGGUAUUCCGAGGGGCAUGCCUAUUCGAGCGUCAUUAUCACCCCUCAAGCCUAGCUUGGUGUUGAGGCCUGCUGUCAAGGCAGCCUCUAAAAUCAGUGGCAGUGCUGUCAGGCUCUAAGCGUAGUAAAUCUAAUCGCUAUAGACACCUGGUGGACACUCGCCAGAACCCCCCCAUUUUUUAAUGAUUGACCUCGUAUUAGGUAGGGAUACCCGCUGAACUUAAGCAUAUCAAUAAGCGGAGGA
rnacentral:misc_RNA from 1 species